CACGUAGGGUGCGAGCGUUGUCCGGAAUUAUUGGGCGUAAAGAGCUCGUAGGCGGUGUGUCGCGUCGGCCGUGAAAACUUUCAGCUUAACUGGGAGCUUGCGGUCGAUACGGGCAUCACUGGAGUUCGGCAGGGGAGACUGGAAUUCCUGGUGUAGCGGUGAAAUGCGCAGAUAUCAAGUGGAACACCAGUGGCGAAGGCGAAUCCCUGGAAAAUACCUGACACUGAGGCACGAAAGCUAGGGGAGCAAACAGG
rnacentral:rRNA from 1 species